GGGUCAGUAGGUUGGUCGUGCCACCGGUACGUACUGGUCUCACUGAUUCCUCCUUCCUGAAGAGCCGUAAUGCCAUUAAUUUGGUGUUGCGGGGAAACAGGACUGUUACUUUGAAAAAAUUAGAGUGUUUAAAGCAAGCUAACGCUUGAAUACAUUAGCAUGGAAUAAUGAAAUAGGACGAUCGAUCCUAUUUUGUUGGUUUCUGGGAUUGACGUA
rnacentral:rRNA from 1 species